GGGGGUAUAGCUCAGCUGGGAGAGCAGCAGACUGAAGUAGUGUUCAUUGCUCUUUAAGUUCAUUCUGAAGGUCCCGCGUUCGAUCCGCGGUACCCCCA